rnacentral:rRNA from 1 species
GCACAAGCGGUGGAGCAUGUGGCUUAAUUCGAUGCAACGCGAAGAACCUUACCUGGGUUUGACAUGCAGGGUGAAACCCGUGAAAGCGGGCGCUCUUCGGAGCCUGCACAGGUGGUGCAUGGCUGUCGUCAGCUCGUGCCGUGAGGUGUUGCCUUAAGUGGCGCAACGAGCGCAACCCCUGUCCUUAGUUGCCAGCGGAUCAUGCCGGGAACUCUAGGGAGACUGCCGGUGCCAAACCGGAGGAAGGUGGGGAUGACGUCAAGUCAGCAUGCCCCUUAUACCCAGGGCUGCACGCAUGCUACAAUGCGCGAUACAGAGGGCUGCGAUCCCGUAAGGGGGAGCGAAUCCCAAAAAGUCGCGCUCAGUUCGGAUCGAGGUCUGCAACCCGACCUCGUGAAGCCGGAGUCGCUAGUAAUCGCAGAUCAGCACUGCUGCGGUGAAUACGUUCCCGGGC